UAGGUGAUGAGGAAGAGAAUGACCAGACAGGAAAGGACACUGAUGACACGAGAGACACUAAGGAGCACAAAGACAAGCCUGUGUCUGUCACAGACAAGGUAAAGACCAAUUAAAGCUUCAGAAUAAUACAGCUGUUUACUGUGUAGGGGCUAGCAGUUGUUACACAGUUACACACUACGAGUCUGUGUAAGUUGAUCAACUACUGUAAGAAGAAGAGGAAAAUGCUCAUCCAACACAAACACAGCAGGGACGUCCUGGAUCUAUUUGAACCCUGUUACCAAGUGAAACACAAAAACAUUCUCUGAGUGAAACCAGUUCGGAGCUCAGACCUGCUCUGGGAGGAACCACUUAUUUCCCUGUCAAGAUUGAGUUAUUGUGUGUUGUGAGUAAGACCCACUCUCAGCUGUCUGCUAGGCUUCACACAGCUUUAACAAACUUCACUGAGUGUGAGCUCUGCAGCUAAGUUUACACAGCCGUGGUUAUUUGUAUGGAGUUCACCUUCUGCAAACACCUGGAGGAUCAAACUACAUUCACUCUGUCAGCUCGAGCAAAACAGAAAGAGGGCGCCAACUUGUUUACUUUCACUGUUAGUUGAACUUACUAAAAUAUGUUGGUGUAAGAAAAGCUGCUGUUGGCUGUGCAACAAAGCCUCGACACAUUCAGUACAAGUUUCUCUCCCCAAUGUGACGGAGUACUAGGCCCCGUUAAGAAUAAAAAUAUAUGUAUUAUUCAAAA